rnacentral:rRNA from 1 species
CCUACGGGAGGCAGCAGUGAGGAAUAUUGGUCAAUGGACGAGAGUCUGAACCAGCCAAGUAGCGUGAAGGAUGACUGCCCUAUGGGUUGUAAACUUCUUUUAUAUGGGAAUAAAAUGUUCCACGUGUGGGAUUUUGUAUGUACCAUAUGAAUAAGGAUCGGCUAACUCCGUGCCAGCAGCCGCGGUAAUACGGAGGAUCCGAGCGUUAUCCGGAUUUAUUGGGUUUAAAGGGUGCGUAGGGGGAUUGUUAAGUCAGUUGUGAAAGUUUGCGGCUCAACCGUAAAAUUGCAGUUGAAACUGGCAGUCUUGAGUACAGUAGAGGUGGGCGGAAUUCGUGGUGUAGCGGUGAAAUGCUUAGAUAUCACGAAGAACUCCGAUUGCGAAGGCAGUUCACUGGACUGCAACUGACACUGAGGCUCGAAAGUGUGGGUAUCAAACAGGAUUAGAUACCCCUGUAGUC